rnacentral:rRNA from 1 species
UAGCGGCGGACGGGUGAGUAACACGUAGGUAACCUGCCUAUAAGAUCGGGAUAACUAUCGGAAACGAUAGCUAAGACCGGAUAACUGGUUUUCUCGCAUGAGAGAAUCAUGAAACACGGAGCAAUCUGUGGCUUAUAGAUGGGCCUGCGGCGCAUUAGCUAGUUGGUAGGGUAACGGCCUACCAAGGCGACGAUGCGUAGCCGACCUGAGAGGGUGAACGGCCACACUGGGACUGAGACACGGCCCAGACUCCUACGGGAGGCAGCAGUAGGGAAUCUUCCGCAAUGGACGCAAGUCUGACGGAGCAACGCCGCGUGAGUGAUGAAGGUUUUCGGAUCGUAAAGCUCUGUUGCCCUAGACGAACAGCAAGGAGAGUAACUGCUCUUUGUGUGACGGUAUAGGAGAAGAAAGCCCCGGCUAACUACGUGCCAGCAGCCGCGGUAAUACGUAGGGGGCAAGCGUUGUCCGGAAUUAUUGGGCGUAAAGCGCGCGCAGGCGGUCAAUUAAGUUGGGUGUUUAAUCCCGGGGCUCAACCCCGGUUCGCAUCCAAAACUGGUUGACUUGAGUGUAGGAGAGGAAAGUGGAAUUCCACGUGUAGCGGUGAAAUGCGUAGAGAUGUGGAGGAACACCAGUGGCGAAGGCGACUUUCUGGNCUAUAACUGACGCUGAGGCG